CAGGGCUCUCUGCUACAACUUCGUAAGUUCUCUCUUGCAGAUUGUGGUGUUGGCUUUCAUGGGCUUGAAAGUCUGCUGGACUUAAAUACUUCAGAUUUUGAAUUUUUACCCUUUCACUGCAGGCAUUGUGCAUCAAUGAAAGCAUUUUUCCAACUUGUAGUGUUCAGUUUCUUAGCUGGUCAGGUCAACCUUACUCUGCUCAAUGGUGACCCAGAUGCUAUGUAAUUGUCCUGUGCUUGAAUUACAGCGCUGUACCCUCAAGAUGUUAAUUUCGUACAACAAUAAGUAUAGCAAUUAAGGCUUUGUUUCAACCAUUCUUUGUCUGAUUUAAUAGUUGGAUGAGAAAUCACAUUCCAAAACAGGUGCUCUAAACUUCUUUUAGAGGUAGAAGAGAAAUUUGUCUAAUCCCUCAUGUCACGUAUGAGCUUUUAAGGGCUGGGUCUGUGCUCCGAGGUAACAGCAGUUUUUAGGUUUAAUACCUUCCAUACGAGAGACUUUCAAGGGCUUGCUGUUUUAACAUUGACUCUUUAACAGGGGACUCUUAAAACAUUAGUGCUGCAACCUAACAGACCACUACCUUCUAAAUAUACACUGCUUCUCCAGUGAGGCAUGCCAGCUAAUCAAUGAAGCCUUUCUGAGUGGGUUUAAGGUGGUUUUCUCAGACUGGUUUAAAAACACAGAAAUCCCUGUGCUCAAUGGUUGUACUGUGAAAAUGAAUAUGGUGCUGAACAGUAUGUAGAAACACCUUUUGCGGUCUAUAUUUGAAAUAUGUGAUGUAUCAACCAAGCACCAGUCCUCCUGUCUAUACUCUGUUCUGUAUUUCAUACAUUUCUUCUGAGUAAGGUAUUUGGACUACCUGACUCUACACAAACACCAGGGAGGAAGGGAAAGGAAGGUCUGAUGGAAACUCUUGUGGGUGAUCCUAGAGUACAGAAUAGGACAGAGCCUUUUAGCUUUAUUAUGGAAUACAUGCCAUGAACAAAUGUAUCGUAACAUUGACAAGAUGAGAUCAGGUUUAGCUGACUGUUUGCAGAGCUGAAAGACUUGACUCUCAGUAGCAGAGGUCUCAAUAUGACAGUCAUGUUCAGGAAAAGUUGGUUUAGAGUUUUAGACAAAAUGUUUUCAAUAUUUGAGUUAAAGUAGCUGGGUUCUUGGACAAGAAACAGCCUUCAAAAGACUCUUUUCAUGGGAUGAUGGAUUUUUUUUGUAUUGAGUUUAGGCAUUACUCUUUGUGGUUAAAUGAUACUAUGUAAGUACAGAAUAAAUCUGAUCAAAUGUC